UCCAGCCAAACCAUUGGCCACAGCCCAUGAACACCAGUAUGAUCUCAUGUCUGGUCAUUUCUCCUUCCAAGCACAGUGAACAACUAUGUGCACUGCCCACUGUGAGGAUUUCCCUUCACAACGUCCUUCAGGGAUGUCCCAGGGAGGGGCUACAGUGUUGCAGUGUGUGCUUUCAGAGGCUGCCUGCAUAUCUGCAAGACCAUCAUUUAACAUGUCCAAGAUUUCCCUUCCUCUAUAAACUGAUCAUAUGGAGCACCCCAUGAGGCCAUCAGGGAAGACUGUGAGAAAGAGAUGAAGUGAUAAUCACUUCCUAGCAAGGAGGUGGCUGUACCAAACCUUUGUCUCAGGGAUGAGAUGCUCUCAUUGCGCACCUUUACAGACUGUGAUCAUAGGAGCUAUUGUCCUGGCAAGAAAUCACAUUUGAGUUGUAGUCAUGUUAAUUGACUCCGAAGAAUAGAGGAUAUCUUCUCUGAACAGUCAAGUUUUGGAUUCUUGGUUGGGACCUGAGUCUGCUUUGAUUCUCGCAAG